CCAAUAGCGUAUAUUAAAGUUGUUGCAGUUAAAAAGCUCGUAGUUGAAUUUCGGGGUCUGUCCAUCGGUCGGGCUUUUUCGGUCCGCACUGUUGCGAUGGAUUCCUACCUUCUGAAUAACCGAUUUGCCAUUAAUUUGGUGGGUCGGGGAAGCAGGACUGUUACCUUGAAAAAAUUAGAGUGCUCAAAGCAGGCUAGUGCCUGAAUACAUUAGCAUGGAAUAAUAAAAUAGGACGGCAUGGUUCUAUUUUGUUGGUUUCUAGGAUCACCGUAAUGAUUAAUAGGGAUAGUUGGGGGGAUUAGUAUUCAAUUGUCAGAGGUGAAAUUCUUGGAUUUAUUGAAGACUAACUACUGCGAAAGCAUUUGCCAAGGAUGUUUUCAUUAAUCAAGAACGAAAGUUAGGGGAUCGAAGACGAUCAGAUACCGUCGUAGUCUUAACCAUAAACUAUGCCGACUAGGGAUCGGACGAUGUUAAUUUUUUAAUGACUCGUUCGGCGCCUUAC
rnacentral:rRNA from 1 species